AACGAACGCUGGCGGCAGGCUUAACACAUGCAAGUCGAGCGCCCCGCAAGGGGAGCGGCAGACGGGUGAGUAACGCGUGGGAACGUACCUUUUGAUUCGGAACAACUCCGGGAAACUGGAGCUAAUACCGGAUAAGCCCUAACGGGGAAAGAUUUAUCGCCGAAAGAUCGGCCCGCGUCUGAUUAGCUAGUUGGUGAGGUAACGGCUCACCAAGGCGACGAUCAGUAGCUGGUCUGAGAGGAUGAUCAGCCACACUGGGACUGAGACACGGCCCAGACUCCUACGGGAGGCAGCAGUGGGGAAUAUUGGACAAGGGGCGCAAGCCUGAUCCAGCCAUGCCGCGUGAGUGAUGAAGGCCUUAGGGUUGUAAAGCUCUUUUGUCCGGGAAGAUAAUGACUGUACCGGAAGAAUAAGCCCCGGCUAACUUCGUG
rnacentral:rRNA from 1 species